rnacentral:rRNA from 1 species
GGAAUCUUCCACAAUGGGCGAAAGCCUGAUGGAGCAACGCCGCGUGUGUGAUGAAGGCCUUCGGGUCGUAAAGCACUGUUGUAUGGGAAGAACAGCCAGAAUAGGGAAUGAUUUUAGUUUGACGGUACCAUACCAGAAAGGGACGGCUAAAUACGUGCCAGCAGCCGCGGUAAUACGUAUGUCCCGAGCGUUAUCCGGAUUUAUUGGGCGUAAAGCGAGCGCAGACGGUUGAUUAAGUCCGAUGUGAAAGCCCGGAGCUCAACUCCGGAAUGGCAUUGGAAACUGGUUAACUUGAGUGCAGUAGAGGUAAGUGGAACUCCAUGUGUAGCGGUGGAAUGCGUAGAUAUAUGGAAGAACACCAGUGGCGAAGGCGGCUUACUGGACAACAACUGACGUUGAGGCUCGAAAGUGUGGGUAGCAA